CGGCCGCCCGGGCCCCGGGCACUGAGCGCGCCCGCCGAGACCUGCCCGCCGCCGCUACCAUGGCCGAAGUGCGCAAAUUCACCAAGCGGCUGAGCAAGCCGGGCACAGCAGCCGAGCUCCGCCAGAGCGUGUCGGAGGCCGUGCGGGGCUCUGUGGUGCUGGAAAAGGCCAAGUUAGUUGAACCCCUGGACUAUGAGAAUGUUAUCACCCAACGGAAAACACAGAUUUACAGCGAUCCCCUCAGAGAUCUGCUUAUGUUCCCCAUGGAAGACAUAUCUCUCUCAGUGAUUGGUCGUCAGCUCAGAACAGUGCAGUCCACUGUACCAGAAGAUGCUGAAAAGAGGGCCCAGAGCCUAUUUGUCAAAGAGUGUAUUAAAACCUACAGCACAGAUUGGCAUGUGGUGAACUAUAAGUAUGAAGAUUUCUCUGGGGACUUUCGGA
rnacentral:lncRNA from 1 species